AUAACUCUCAUGAUCUUCUUCUUUGUAAAGUGCCUGCCAAGCCAGCUUGGGGGUUGUUCUUUGAUGCAACGCAAUCACAACCAUACGUGUGAAAAUAGAUUCACGGCCACAUAUAUGGUAUAUUUGAUUGCAGAUUAAGAGAUCAAGGGCCCACGUACUCGUGUAAAGUCAAGCUUCCAGGAAGCAACAAAGGCGACAACACAGAUACGCUAAAAUCUAUGCACCACUAACACCACCUGCACUUCCGGCCAGGAACCAAAAUAAGACACAAAGCACGUGCUAUGGAGUUUUGGUUUAGCUAUAGCUAGCUUUUGUGUUUAGUAUGGUUAACACCCCCUCCACUGUUUUAAUAUCAAUUGACGAACUUCGAUCUA